AUUGAACGCUGGCGGCAGGCCUAACACAUGCAAGUCGAACGGUAACAGGAAGCAGCUUGCUGCUUCGCUGACGAGUGGCGGACGGGUGAGUAAUGCCUGGGAAACUGCCUGAUGGAGGGGGAUAACUACUGGAAACGGUAGCUAAUACCGCAUAACGUCGCAAGACCAAAGAGGGGGACCUUCGGGCCUCUUGCCAUCGGAUGUGCCCAGAUGGGAUUAGCUAGUAGGUGGGGUAACGGCUCACCUAGGCGACGAUCCCUAGCUGGUCUGAGAGGAUGACCAGCCACACUGGAACUGAGACACGGUCCAGACUCCUACGGGAGGCAGCAGUGGGGAAUAUUGCACAAUAGGCGCAAGCCUGAUGCAGCCAUGCCGCGUGUAUGAAGAAGGCCUUCGGGUUGUAAAGUACUUUCAGCGGGGAGGAAGGGAGUAAAGUUAAUACCUUUGCUCAUUGACGUUACCCGCAGAAGAAGCACCGGCUAACUCCGUG
rnacentral:rRNA from 1 species